GACGACCUCUGGCGGCGCGCCUAACACAUGCAAGUCGAACGAGAGAUGAGGAGCUUGCUCUUCAAAUCGAGUGGCGAACGGGUGAGUAACGCGUGAGGAACCUGCCUCAAAGAGGGGGACAACAGUUGGAAACGACUGCUAAUACCGCAUAAGCCCACGGCUCGGCAUCGAGCAGAGGGAAAAGGAGCAAUCCGCUUUGAGAUGGCCUCGCGUCCGAUUAGCUAGUUGGUGAGGUAACGGCCCACCAAGGCGACGAUCGGUAGCCGGACUGAGAGGUUGAACGGCCACAUUGGGACUGAGACACGGCCCAGACUCCUACGGGAGGCAGCAGUGGGGAAUAUUGCACAAUGGGGGAAACCCUGAUGCAGCGACGCCGCGUGGAGGAAGAAGGUCUUCGGAUUGUAAACUCCUGUUGUUGAGGAAGAUAAUGACGGUACUCAACAAGGAAGUGACGGCUAACUACGUGCCAGCAGCCGCGGUAAAACGUAGGUCACAAGCGUUGUCCGGAAUUACUGGGUGUAAAGGGAGCGCAGGCGGGAGAACAAGUUGGAAGUGAAAUCCAUGGGCUCAACCCAUGAACUGCUUUCAAAACUGUUUUUCUUGAGUAGUGCAGAGGUAGGCGGAAUUCCCGGUGUAGCGGUGGAAUGCGUAGAUAUCGGGAGGAACACCAGUGGCGAAGGCGGCCUACUGGGCACCAACUGACGCUGAGGCUCGAAAGUGUGGGUAGCAAACAGGAUUAGAUACCCUGGUAGUCCACACCGUAAACGAUGAUUACUAGGUGUUGGAGGAUUGACCCCUUCAGUGCCGCAGUUAACACAAUAAGUAAUCCACCUGGGGAGUACGACCGCAAGGUUGAAACUCAAAGGAAUUGACGGGGGCCCGCACAAGCAGUGGAGUAUGUGGUUUAAUUCGACGCAACGCGAAGAACCUUACCAAGUCUUGACAUCCCUUGACGAACAUAGAAAUAUGUUUUCUCUUCGGAGCAAGGAGACAGGUGGUGCAUGGUUGUCGUCAGCUCGUGUCGUGAGAUGUUGGGUUAAGUCCCGCAACGAGCGCAACCCUUAUGGUCAGUUACUACGCAAGAGGACUCUGGCCAGACUGCCGUUGACAAAACGGAGGAAGGUGGGGAUGACGUCAAAUCAUCAUGCCCUUUAUGACUUGGGCUACACACGUACUACAAUGGCGUUAAACAAAGAGAAGCAAGACCGCGAGGUGGAGCAAAACUCAGAAACAACGUCCCAGUUCGGACUGCAGGCUGCAACUCGCCUGCACGAAGUCGGAAUUGCUAGUAAUCGUGGAUCAGCAUGCCACGGUGAAUACGUUCCCGGGCCUUGCACU
rnacentral:rRNA from 1 species